UAUCAGAAAUAAAAAAAUCUAACAUGUUUGUAUUUUAUAUAAUUUCAAACCUGAACUUACUGGUAGAUACUCAACUGCUAUGGUGGUGAUCAACUGCUAUAUUUGGCUCUUCUGCUAUAGCCAUAGCAGUUGAGAGACACCAAAAGUGGCAAAAAUAGCAGUUGAUUUAUAGCAGAUGAGCCAAAUAUAGCGGCGGUAUGACAAAUCAGAACUUUCCCUAAUCAGAACUGCCCGAAUCGGAACUGUUUGUUCGCUCCCAAACAAAAGUGAAAUAGGACUUCAGUUCUUUUUGUUGGUUCUACACCUUAUUUAAUGGCUAAGAGGUACAUUUUCUGGGGCAUUCCUAUCAUUACGCGAGAGGUGAAAUUCGUGGACUGUAGUGAGACGCCCAAUAGCGAAAGCAUUUGCCAAGAAUGGCUUCAUUAAUCGUGAACGAAAGUCAGAGGUUCGAAGGCGAUUAUAUACCGCCCUAUUUCUGACCGUAAACGAUGCCGUCUCGCGAUUCGGAGGGUUUUUGCCCUGCCGAGGAGCUAUCCGGAAACCAAAGUCUUUCGGUUCCGGGGGUAGUAUGGUUGCAAAGCUGACACUUAACGAUGUUGUCGGAAUGGCGCCACAAGGCGUGGAGCUUGCGGUUUAAUUUGACUCAUCAUGGGAAAACUCUCCCGGUCCGGACACCAUUAGGACUGACUGAUUGAAAGCUCUUUCUCGAUUUGGUGGUUGGUGGUGCAUGGCCGUUCUUACUUGUUGGAAUGAUUUGUCUAGAUUAUUACGAU
rnacentral:ncRNA from 1 species